UGCGUAGGCGGUUUAUUAAGUCAGUGGUGAAAGACGGUCGCUCAACGAUUGCAGUGCCAUUGAUACUGGUAGACUUGAGUGUGAUUGAGGUAGCUGGAAUGGAUAGUGUAGCGGUGAAAUGCAUAGAUAUUAUCCAGAACACCGAUUGCGAAGGCAGGUUACUAUGUCUUAACUGACGCUGAUGGACGAAAGCGUGGGGAGCGAACAGGAUUAGAUACCCUCGUA
rnacentral:rRNA from 1 species